rnacentral:tRNA from 1 species
GGAGAGGUGGCCGAGUGGCUGAAGGCGCACGCUUGGAAAGCGUGUUUACGAGAGAUUGUAACGCGGGUUCGAAUCCCGCUCUCUCCG